rnacentral:tRNA from 1 species
GCGCCCGUAGCUCAGCUGGAUAGAGCGUUGCCCUCCGGAGGCAAAGGUCAGAGGUU